rnacentral:rRNA from 1 species
AGCGAACGCUGGCGGCAGGCUUAACACAUGCAAGUCGAACGAUCCUUCGGGAUAGUGGCGGACGGGUGAGUAACACGUGGGAACGUGCCCUUAGGUUCGGAACAACACAGGGAAACUUGUGCUAAUACCGGAUAAGCCCUUACGGGGAAAGAUUUAUCGCCUUUGGAGCGGCCCGCGUCUGAUUAGCUUGUUGGUGAGGUAAAGGCUCACCAAGGCUACGAUCAGUAGCUGGUCUGAGAGGAUGGCCAGCCACAUUGGGACUGAGACACGGCCCAAACUCCUACGGGAGGCAGCAGUGGGGAAUCUUGCGCAAUGGGCGAAAGCCUGACGCAGCCAUGCCGCGUGGAUGAUGAAGGUCUUAGGAUUGUAAAAUCCUUUCAGCGGGGACGAUAAUGACGGUACCCGCAGAAGAAGCCCC